rnacentral:sRNA from 1 species
GGAAUGCGGAGAGCCGUAGAGUUUUGUAAAGUGUAGAGAACACAGCUGUGUAUUUGAAGCAGUGCUGGCAACUUUGAAUGUGUGCUGUGCAGAGGUGCAUCUGCGUUGUUUGUAUGUUUGUAUGUGUGUUUUGUUUUCGAAAAGGCUGCUGCUUCUUUGGUUAGUUUGUGCGAGACAUCAACUUGGAAACUUUUUUCAGCGCAACCAAUUAUUCUGGCGUCAUUUUGGUGCUUCCCAAACGGAUGUGGACAACUCCAUAUAUGUUCUAGAGACAGUUUGAAGAAUUGAGUUUCUGGGCGACUAUUCUGUGACCCAAAAGGAUUGCAAAGCAUCAUAGGAUCCCCCCAAAACCUGAAAGUUCUUGUGAAACAUUCUCACAGACCUCGCUCCGUGGUGUUCUUCAAUUGUAUGGAAGUUGUGUGAGCCAUAGUUCGCUUGUUCCGGGAGUUUAUUUCACAGUUCGAUACCCUCCCUUCUUCCCCUCUCUGCUAACACUCGGCAAUUCGGCAAAUACGGCACUUGGCUGUGGCUGGCUAAUAGCGUAAAAGAGGUUGGCUGAUGUGUAAUUUAUGAGAAGCCUCGCCAUGUAUUGAAAGACACCGAUACCGAGUGCAUGGUACCUUAUGGGAUAUAAAAAAACAGCAAACGCAUGACAAUUCCUUCAAACAAAUCCAAAAAACAAUCUCUUACAGCAGCGGCGGCAUAAACAUAAACAAGAAGAAAA